AUUCCAGCUCCAAUAGCGUAUAUUAAAGUUGUUGCAGUUAAAACGCUCGUAGUUGAUAUUCUGCCACUGAGAACGAAUCUUCUUAAUACGGAGAAUUUGUUCCCAGUAGCAUCAAUCUGAAUCUACAUCGAAAGGUGGAAAUUCGGAGCAGUUACCUUGAGAAAAUUAGAGUGUUUCAAGCAGGCGUAAUGCCUUGAAUACUCCAGCAUGGAAUAACAAGUAAGGACUUUGGUUCUUCUUGUUGGUUUAGGAACCUUAGUGAUGAUUAAGAGGAACAGUCGGGGGUAUUCGUACUUGGUAGUCAGAGGUGAAAUUCUUGGAUUUACCAAAGACGAACUACUGCGAAGGCAUCUACCAUGGAUGUUUUCAUCA
rnacentral:rRNA from 1 species